rnacentral:snoRNA from 1 species
GCAUGGUUUUGGAUUUAUGGUGGGUCUGAUUCCAUAGAUCAUUCCAUAGUGUACUCCAUGCUAUAGCAAGCAGCUACCCCGAACCAUUGGCCAGUCUGGCUUCUGUAGCCCUGAUCACUGAAGUGGGUGGUACAUCU